AGUAGAACUGCUGGGUCAUAUAGUAUAUUUAACUUUUUAAGAAACCGCCAAACUGUUUUCCAAAGUAGUUGCAUCAUUUUACAUUCCCAUCAGCAAU
rnacentral:pre_miRNA from 1 species